rnacentral:rRNA from 1 species
GAUGAACGCUAGCUACAGGCUUAACACAUGCAAGUCGAGGGGUGACGAGAGGAAAGCUUGCUUUCCUUGUCGACGACCGGCGCACGGGUGGGUAACGCGUAUCCAACCUGCCCCCAACUAGGGAAUAACCUUGCGAAAGUAAGACUAAUACCCUAUAAUUUCCUCAGAUGUCAUCUGACGAGGAAUAAAGAUUUAUCGGUUGUGGAUGGGGAUGCGUCUGAUUAGCUUGUUGGCGGGGUAACGGCCCACCAAGGCAACGAUCAGUAGGGGUUCUGAGAGGAAGGUCCCCCACAUUGGAACUGAGACACGGUCCAAAAUCCUACGGGAGGCAGCAGUGAGGAAUAUUGGUCAAUGGGCGGAAGCCUGAACCAGCCAAGUAGCGUGCAGGAUGACGGCCCUAUGGGUUGUAAACUGCUUUUAUACAGGAAUAAAGUUAGCCACGUGUGGUUAUUUGUAGGUACUGUAUGAAUAAGGACCGGCUAAUUCCGUGCCAGCCGCCGCGGUAA